rnacentral:rRNA from 1 species
AGUGAACGCUGGCGGUAGGCCUAACACAUGCAAGUCGAACGGCAGCACAGGAGAGCUUGCUCUCUGGGUGGCGAGUGGCGGACGGGUGAGGAAUACAUCGGAAUCUGCCCAGUCGUGGGGGAUAACGUAGGGAAACUUACGCUAAUACAGCAUACGACCUUCGGGUGAAAGAGGGGGAUCGCAAGACCUCUCGCGAUUGGAUGAGCCGAUGUCGGAUUCGCUAGUUGGCGGGGUAAUGGCCCACCAAGGCGAAGAUCCGUAGCUGGUCUGAGAGGAUGAUCAGCCACACUGGAACGGAGACACGGUCCAGACUCCUACGGGAGGCAGCAGUGGGGAAUAUUGGACAAUGGGCGCAAGCCUGAUCCAGCCAUACCGCGUGAGUGAAGAAGGCCUUCGGGUUGUAAAGCCCUUUUGUUGGGAAAGAAAUCUUUCAGGCUAAUACCCUGAGAGGAUGACGGUACCCAAAGAAUAAGCACCGGCUAACUUCGUG